rnacentral:rRNA from 1 species
UACGGAGGGUGCAAGCGUUGUUCGGAUUCAUUGGGCGUAAAGGGUGCGUAGGUGGCGCCGUAAGUCGGAUGUGAAAUUUCGGAGCUUAACUCCGAAACUGCAUUCGAUACUGCGGUGCUUGAGGACUGGAGAGGAGACUGGAAUUCAUGGUGUAGCAGUGAAAUGCGUAGAGAUCAUGAGGAAGACCAGUGGCGAAGGCGGGUCUCUGGACAGUUCCUGACGCUGAGGCACGAAGGUCAGGGGAGCAAACGGG